CGCUGGCGGCAUGCCUUACACAUGCAAGUCGAACGGUAACAGGUCUUCGGACGCUGACGAGUGGCGAACGGGUGAGUAAUACAUCGGAACGUGCCCAGUCGUGGGGGAUAACUACUCGAAAGAGUAGCUAAUACCGCAUACGAUCUGAGGAUGAAAGCGGGGGACCUUCGGGCCUCGCGCGAUUGGAGCGGCCGAUGGCAGAUUAGGUAGUUGGUGGGAUAAAAGCUUACCAAGCCGACGAUCUGUAGCUGGUCUGAGAGGACGACCAGCCACACUGGGACUGAGACACGGCCCAGACUCCUACGGGAGGCAGCAGUGGGGAAUUUUGGACAAUGGGCGAAAGCCUGAUCCAGCAAUGCCGCGUGCAGGAUGAAGGCCUUCGGGUUGUAAACUGCUUUUGUACGGAACGAAAAAGCUUCUCCUAAUACGAGAGGCCCAUGACGGUACCGUAAGAAUAAGCACCGGCUAACUACGUGCCAGCAGCCGCGGUAAUACGUAGGGUGCGAGCGUUAAUCGGAAUUACUGGGCGUAAAGCGUGCGCAGGCGGUUAUGUAAGACAGAUGUGAAAUCCCCGGGCUCAACCUGGGAACUGCAUUUGUGACUGCAUGGCUAGAGUACGGUAGAGGGGGAUGGAAUUCCGCGUGUAGCAGUGAAAUGCGUAGAUAUGCGGAGGAACACCGAUGGCGAGGGCAAUCCCCUGGACCUGUACUGACGCUCAUGCACGAAAGCGUGGGGA
rnacentral:rRNA from 1 species